rnacentral:rRNA from 1 species
AAUUUCUUGGAACAGAAUGUCAAGGAGGGUGAGAAUCCCGUCUGGAGUCGCGGUAGGGCCCAUGUGAAACUCCUUCGACGAGUCGAGUUGUUUGGGAAUGCAGCUCAAAAUGGGUGGUAAAUUUCAUCUAAAGCUAAAUAUUGGCCAGAGACCGAUAGCGCACAAGUAGAGUGAUCGAAAGAUGAAAAGCACUUUGAAAAGAGAGUUAAACAGUAUGUGAAAUUGUUGAAAGGGAAGCGCUGGCAACCAGACUUGCGUGCGGAGGUUCCCCCUUGCUUCUGCUUGGGCUACUCCUUCGUAUCCAGGCCAACAUCGGUUUUGGUGGUCGGUUAAAGGCCUUGGGAAUGUAUCUUCCUCCGGGAAGACUUAUAGCCCAUGGUGUCAUGCGGCCUACCGGGACCGAGGAACGCGCUUCGGCUCGGAUGUUGGCGUAAUGGUUGUCAGCGACCCGUCUUGAAACACGGACCAAGGAGUCUAACAUCUAUGCGAGUGUUAGGGUGUCAAACCCUUGCGCGGAAUGAAAGUGAACGGAGGUAGGAAGUCUCUUUUGACUGCACUAUCGACCGAUCCUGAAGUUUACGGAUGGAUUUGAGUAAGAGCAUAGCUGUUGGGACCCGAAAGAUGGUGAACUAUGCCUGAAUAGGGUGAAGCCAGAGGAAACUCUGGUGGAGGCUCGCAGCGGUUCUGACGUGCAAAUCGAUCGUCAAAUUUGGGUAUAGGGGCGAAAGACUAAUCGAACUAUCUGGUAGCUGGUUCCUGCCGAAGUUUCCCUCAGGAUAGCAGUAACGUUUUCAGUUUUAUGAGGUAAAGCGAAUGAUUAGAGGCCUUGGGGUUGAAACAACCUUAACCUAUUCUCAAACUUUAAAUAUGUAAGAAGUCCUUGUCACUUAAUUGGACGUGGACAUUUGAAUGUACCGUUACUAGUGGGCCAUUUUUGGUAAGCAGAACUGGCGAUGCGGGAUGAACCGAACGAGAGGUUAAGGUGCCGGAGUGCACGCUCAUCAGACACCACAAAAGGUGUCAAUGCAUCUAGACAGCCGGACGGUGGCCAUGGAAGUCGGAAUCCGCUUAGGAGUGUGUAACAACUCACCGGCCGAAUGCAUUGGCCCUGAAAAUGGAUGGCGCUUAAGGCGUGUC